CCUGCCCGGGAGAUCGGGAUAACAGUUCGAAAGGGCUGCUAAUACCGGAUGAUAUCUUUUCUUUUCGGAGGGAAGAUCAAAGCGUUUAGCGCUCUCGGAUUGGGCCCGCGUCCCAUUAGUUAGUUGGUGGGGUAAUGGCCUACCAAGGCAGCGAUGGGUAGCCGGUCUGAGAGGAUGUUCGGCCACACUGGGACUGAGACACGGCCCAGACUCUUACGGGAGGCAGCAGUGGGGAAUUUUGCGCAAUGGGGGAAACCUUGACGCAGCGACGCCGCGUGAGUGAUGAAGGCCUUCGGGUUGUAAAGCUCUGUUGGGGGGGAAGAUAGUGACGGUACCCCCUGAGGAAGCCCCGGCUAACUACGUGCCAGCAGCCGCGGUAAGACGUAGGGGGCGAGCGUUGUCCGGAAUUACUGGGCGUAAAGGGCGUGUAGGCGGCUUUUCAAGUCGGCUGUGAAAUUCCUUGGCUUAACUGAGGGUGUGCAGUCGAAACUGAUGGGCUUGAGUGCAGGAGAGGGUGGUGGAAUUCCCGGUGUAGCGGUGACAUGCGUAGAUAUCGGGAGGAACACCGGUGGCGAAGGCGGCCUCCUGGCCUGUUACUGACGCUGAGGCGCGAAAGCCGGGGGAGCAAACAGGAUUAGAUACCCUGGUAGUCCCGGCCGUAAACUCUGGGUACUA
rnacentral:rRNA from 1 species